AGCAUGUGGUUUAAUUCGAUGCAACGCGAAGAACCUUUACCUUGGUCUUGACAUCCACAGAACUUUCCAGAGAUGGAUUGGUGCCUUCGGGAACUGUGAGACAGGUGCUGCAUGGCUGUCGUCAGCUCGUGUUGUGAAAUGUUGGGUUAAGUCCCGCAACGAGCGCAACCCUUAUCCCUUUGUUGCCAGCGGUCCGGCCGGGAACUCAAAGGAGACUGCCAGUGAUAAACUGGAGGAAGUGGGAUGACGUCAAGUCAUCAUGGCCCUUACGACCAGGGCUACACACGUGCUACAAUGGCGCAUACAAAGAGAAGCGACCUCGCGAGAGCAAGCGGACCUCAUAAAGUGCGUCGUAGUCCGGAUUGGAGUCUGCAACUCGACUCCAUGAAGUCGGAAUCGCUAGUAAUCGUGGAUCAGAAUGCCACGGUGAAUACGUUCCCGGGCCUU
rnacentral:rRNA from 1 species